rnacentral:lncRNA from 10 species
GACUGGAUAGUCCAUGAACACCUGACCAGCCCACCAGAUCUGCCCAAGAGAAUUCUCAGGAAGCUCAGAGGACAGGUGAAAAAAUUAUAAUACAAGAAUACUAUGCACAGCCAAGUUGGUCUUCAAGUAGAGAAGGGCUGCAAGAAGGUAUUCACAAAUCUGAAAAACUCAAAACACAGCAACCAUGAACCCUUCUGGAAAAGUCUACUUGGAUGAUGAAAUCUAGCUAAUCAAGAGAUAAAUCAAAAUAAAUGGAGAAGUC